UACGUAGGGUGCAAGCGUUUAAUCGGAAUUACUGGGCGUAAAGCGUGCGCAGGCGGUUGUGUAAGACAGAUGUGAAAUCCCCGGGCUCAACCUGGGAACUGCAUUUGUGACUGCACAGCUGGAGUGCGGCAGAGGGGGAUGGAAUUCCGCGUGUAGCAGUGAAAUGCGUAGAUAUGCGGAGGAACACCGAUGGCGAAGGCAAUCCCCUGGGCCUGCACUGACGCUCAUGCACGAAAGCGUGGGAGCAAACAGG
rnacentral:rRNA from 1 species